GAGAAAAUGAUUCAGUUACAAUAUUUGCGUAAAAAGCAGUACUGUUUAUUUAACAUCUUUAGGAACUGAUGUGCUUUUUUUUUUUUUUAAUCUUAUGUGCUUUCAAGGUCACCUUAAGGUGAAACUAUCCUAGCUUGUAGACGUCCCCUUCCUUUAUCUCUGUCUUUGCACAAAUGGCUUAACCCCUACGAAUAAGAAAAAAGUAUUCAUUGACGUUUGUUUGCCUCUGGGUGAUUCUUAAAGCAUGCCCAGGGGCUUCAAGAUGUAGGAGCACAAAGUUUGAGUUUGCCAAGUGGUUAUUUAUGGAAAGAAAUUGUAUGAUGUUGCUCAAUGUGAGAAUUUUAUGGUCUUAUGAUUAACUUUUGCCCAGAGGCUACAGUUUCAUUAACCACAGAAAUUUAGUGACUUAAAAUUACCAGCAGUUAAAUGUAUAACGUCAGCUUUCAUUCAGUCCAAAUUCUUCCCAUUGCUCAUCAAAACAGAUCAACAGCUCUUCUGAUACACCAGUUAAUUCAUGUCCUGGUGAUUUGUGAUGAAUGACGUCUGGGUAAAUCAAGGGAGCAAUAUGCUUCUUUUGUAAAGAACAUUACUUUAAUGUUCAUAUUUACUCCUUCACCCUUUCACAAUUUCACAAAGUAGAGUGAACAUCUAUAAUUCACUGUCAACUUUGGGUGGAUUUUUUGCCUUAAAAUUCAACGCCUCUUUUUCUCCCCUUGUGUCCAGAUUGACCAUAGUACCAAACUAGAUGAUAAAGAAAUGUACUGUGUGUAUGUCUCUCUGUGUGUAUGUAAUGUAUGUUACUGAUUGUAUUCCAGAGCCAUUUGUAAAUUUUUUCGGUUAUUUUUAGAUUAUACUAUCUAGUUAUUGUUCUGGAUAUUCUAAUUAUUUAUAGAGUUUUACUUUUUUAUUAUUUUUACCUGUUUAAUAUGUAUUUUAGACUAAUCUUAAAAUUCUUUCAGCUCUUCUCUUACUUUUUCUUGUGCAAUAGCAAAAUGUACAGAAGGAAGUAAGGCAACUACGAAGCUAGUCUGUACCUUACCAAGAAAGAGUGACUGCUAUUUCUCAUGACUUUAUCAAUGAAAAAGAUGGUAAUCUCCUAUGGAAGACACUGUAUUAUAAAUUCAAGUUCCUCUUAAGUCCUAAAGACUCACUGCUAAACGCAGGUACUCAUGGAGAAAAGUUUUAGUUAUAAAUAUUGGCCAUCUUCCCAAGUAAGUCUCCUUAAAUGUGGAUCUAAGCACCUGAUGUACUAUUUCGGCCAUGGUGAAAUGCAUGAUGGAGGCAAAGGAGAAAUGACAGAGUUAAAGUGACUCAUUUCAGAAUUGAACUUGAACUGCGGCUGUGGCCUGGACUCGGCAUUCAAAUAUGACAAAUUGACCUCUGGUUGUAGAGAUGUCUUGAAGAUGCUGAAAAACAAACACAGAAUUAUGGAAUGGAAGAAACUGUUUUACCAUAUGCAAUGAUUUGGGAUGCCAGUUGCAGUACGUGUGCAGGCUUUUUUUUAUCAUAAUUAUUGAUUACCGACUGUACCUUAAUCAAAAUGAGGAGCUGCUGGGCGUUCUUUUGUGCUUUAUAGUGUGCUUUACAGUCAGGUAUAGGUUAUUUUUAUCUUAACUUCAUAGAGUUGUUUUUAAUGAGAAACUUGUUAUUCACUUCCCCAAGAGCCAUUUUUCAAAAUGGAAAACAGGUGAGUGGAGAAGUCUUCAGUUUGUUGUGUUAGAUUAUUUUGUUGAGUACAUACCUAGUCACAGAUUUAGUCUUUACUGUUGGUCACAGGAGCAUGGGCAGCAUUGUAAUUUGUUAAGGGCUCUGAAUCAUGACUUAGAGGACAUGGGCCCAAAUCUCAACACUGUGACCAGCUAGUUGAAGCUGAUCACAGGACUCGGAAAAGACUCUUAACCUCUGUGGAACUCAGGUUCUUGAUCUGUGAAAUAGGGCUAGCAAAAAGCCCAGCCUACUCUGAGGGUUCAAGGCUCGUUUCAGAUAAACAAUCUGAAAACUUUUCUUAAAGAAUGAAGAGUUAUAUUGAUAUACAAAAAAUGUUUAUUAACAAUAGCUAGUUUAGUCUCACAAUGCAUAAAUGAAGGGGUGGCGAUUGUGGUAAAUUUCCCCCUUAAAUCCUGAUUACCCGCCCCCCACCCCCACCCCGGGGUCGAUAAUGUCUACAAUUUAUCUAUAAAGUCAAACUCCAUCGUGUAGUAAAGGAUAGGUUACCUUGGUAAACACAGGGGCUGCAGUGCAAGUGGAUCCUGACAGGCUGCUGCAGGGACUCUGCAUCUGAUUUAAGAAAUAGAAGAGACACUGUCAUCCAUAUUGUCAAGGCCCUAAAACCUAGGUGCGUGAUGGCUAUGGACUAACUGGAUCAGUUUUAGGCGCUACUAACUAGUUCAGUUUUAGCUGCUACCAAACACACCCUAAGUUUCCUUUUUUGAAAAGGAUGAUGUUUCUAAUUGAAAUGUCAGUUUGGAUGUCUGCUCCAAUGCCACCCUUUUUUCUCUCAUCUUCAGCAUUCCAUCAGCCAAGAUGGUGAAAUACAACUUUGGGCAGUUAUGUUUGAGAAAUGAGUAUUGGCAAUUAUUUAGAGAUUAUAUAUUACAGAUUUAAAUAACUUCUAAAUUUUACUGACUAGAUUUUUUUUCCUCUUCCAUACAGCUGUGCUUGUUGGAUCUUUUAGGUUUUUGAGAAAGCACCCCCCCCGCCCCCCACUUUUUUUAAUUAAAGAGGAAUUCACUUCUUGGAUAGUUGGGAUACUCUUGUUAUGGGUCUGAGCUCGUAGACACCAACUGUCCCUUAUGGUCUGGCACACAGACAAAUGGCCAACCCACAGGACUGCCAUGAAGUUAUUUCUGAGACCCAUGGAUUUCAUUCUUGCUCUUUCUGAGGUCAUGCAGCUGGAGGCUCUCCUCACAUACACUUUUCAAGAAAGUUGCAUUGAUUCCUUCUUCUCUGGGCCUGUGUCUCCCUUACCCGGACCCCUCAGAAGGCAUAAAACUGAACCUACCCUCUGGGGGUCAAUACACAAUGGUUGAACUAAGGUAGAAUAACUUGAUCUGAUGUUGGAGGUUUCAUUAACUGGGGAACUGAUGGUCAGAGAAACUCUAGUGGUUUUCUUCUUUAUCCUGUGGGGAAAACAAAACCAAAUACAAUCCAGUGAAAGAAAGAUUAAAGGUGGCUUUGAUAGAAAUACCUCACUGUAUACAUUUGAAUGUAUCACAUUUUUUACCUAUGAUCCUUAAUUUUCUCUUGAUUUGCAUAAUAAUUUUAGUUUCUUUUCUUUUUGGCCAAUUAUUAGUGGAUUAUGGCUCCUAAUAGUUUCACUUUAAAUUUCCUUUGUCUUAGUUCGAUAGUUCGUGGGCUGUUACUAAACUUAAAUUGUCCAGAAGAAAUAACUUAUAAGGGAAAUAACCACUUCGAAAUUUGUCUUGGAAGUUUUAGGUGUUUUUUGGGUCUUUUUUGUAAAGUGGAAUCCCUCCUAUAUUCUUAUGCAACAAAUGCACAUUCACUUCAUAUUCUAUACUUACUCUGACAUUUUUGUAGCAUAUUCCAAGCACAAUCCUAGAGACAAAACUUUUUCUUACUUCCUUGGGUACCUGUAAGAAAGAGAAAACAGAAAAUCUGUCUAAAUCUCAUUGGAAUUUAGUAAAAUUUAGUUCAAGCGUACUGUAUUCACACUAGAACCAGCAAAUUAGUUACAGACAGCAGGUCAGUCUAGAACAUCUGAAUUCUCUCUCUCUCUCUCUCUUUUAUGGCUGAGGAAGAUUUGCCCUGAGCUAACAUCUGUGCCAAUCUUCCUUUCUUUUGUAUGUGGAUCGCUGCCACAGCA